rnacentral:rRNA from 1 species
UACGGAGGGUGCAAGCGUUAUCCGGAUUCACUGGGUUUAAAGGGUGCGUAGGCGGCCCCGUAAGUCCGCUGUGAAAGUCAAAGGCUCAACCUUUGAAAGCCGGUGGAUACUGUGGGGCUAGAGUCCGGAAGAGGCGAGUGGAAUUCCUGGUGUAGCGGUGGAAUGCGCAGAUAUCAGGAGGAACACCAAUAGCGAAGGCAGCUCGCUGGGACGGUACUGACGCUAAGGCGCGAAAGCGUGGGGAGCGAACAGG